GACGUAGGGCGCGAGCGUUGUCCGGAUUUAUUGGGCGUAAAAGAGCUCGUAGGCGGUCUGUCGCGUCGGCUGUGAAAUCCCGAGGCUCAACCUCGGGUCUGCAGUCGAUACGGGCGGACUGGAGUUCGGCAGGGGGAGACUGGAAUUCCUGGUGUAGCGGUGAAAUGCGCAGAUAUCAGGAGGAACACCGGUGGCGAAGGCGGGUCUCUGGGCCGAUACUGACGCUGAGGAGCGAAAGCGUGGGGGAGCGAACAGG
rnacentral:rRNA from 1 species